GUACUCACUUCAGUAGCACAUAGAAUAAAACUGGAAUGAUACAGAGACUAGUGUGGCUCCUGUGCAAGAAUGACAUGCAUAUUUGUGAAGUGUUUCAGAUUUUU
ensembl:snRNA U6 U6 spliceosomal RNA